CUGGUGUGGACAGAACAGCCUCUUCUCCAAACCUGAGUGGGAAGACACUGAGUUCCAGUGGAUUCAACACACAGAAGCGUGGAUUGACGUGAGACAGACUUGGGAAACAACUUCUCCCCAGGGGCCCCUGGGAGAGACUUUGGCAUUGCCUUUUGCUGGAAGUCUUUAAAAACUGGACCUGAACAAGGAGACCCCUGCCCAAAGUUGGUGAGCUGGACAACAUGACCCCUAUACUCUUGAGCCAUGGCCCCUGUUCUGCUGGAGAAAGCCCUGCAGAGGAGGUCAUCCGUGGCCUCCUUUCAGGCUCUGUCCCAGGCCCCCGGCCCACGUGUCCCCUGCCCUCUGUGGGUUCCUGGGUAUGGGUGAGUGGCAGAGGGGUAAGGAGAGCCUUCUUGGCUUGCGGCAUAUGGAGAGAAGAUGUCCCAGGGAAUCCUCGCUCCUGAUUUAAGCAGCUCCGACAGCUUUAUGGCGCCUCCUCGAGUGAGCCCCCAACGUUGGCUGUUUAACUUUUUAGCGUCGUUUAACACUUAGACUCUGGCGGACAGGCAGGCCCCAAGGCCCCAGAGGCAGCGGCACUAAAUCAGGACACUCUGAGGCCCCGAUAAAUAAUUUUUACAGGGCACGCAGCCCAUAGAUCACCAGUGGGGGUGGGGGGAGAGUGGCUGUGAUAUUUCAACCAAUUGUCAUAUGUGACUGCCCUGUGCUCAGACUCCAGGUCGCCCACAUGGCAGCCGGCUUCAUAACCACAGCCGGCUCUGGGGCUCUUCACUUUGGGGCAUGGGAGAGGAGUAGGAGAUGGGGCCUUUGAUAACCCCAGCCAGCAGAUGACCCGUUGCCUCCCCGGGAAUGAUGUUAAGGUCUGCUCAACUCGCUGUUGUCCAUAGAGCAUGGGUGCUUAAUCCAAGCCUCCUCUGGCACUGGGAGAAGGGACAGCUGAAGGCGCAAGGGCAGGGUGGCAGAGAGGAACACAAGUAACUUUCUGUAGCCAAAAAGUCACUUUUCUGAACACCUUCCCUGUUCUGUUGACCACCUCCAAACUUGUGGUCUGCGUGAGAGAACAGUAUAGAGGGAGGGAGGCAUUAGACCUGACCCCUGGAGAGGAGGGCAGAGCUAAGGCUAAAGUUCAGAGAAACUGGCAGCAUCCCUGUACCAUUUAUACCUCUAGAGAAAGAGACGGAAAGACGUGGCGGGGGAGUGCGGAAGGAGAGAGACAGAAACACAGAGAAAGCUAGGUAGUGAGAGGGAUAGAAAAAUGAAGAUGAAAGACAGAUGAAGAUGUAGAGAGAACAAGAGACAGAGGCAAGAGGAGACAGACCAAAACUGACUCAGAAAGGACACUCCAACAGAUGGUUUGGUGUGGAGAAGGAGUCCUUUUCCUAAAGCUUGGUACCAAGCAAGAGCAACAGUGGUAUCAACAGACCAAGGCAGGGGCUGCAUCUGUGCCAGGCUGACCUGCCCCAUGCCCUCUGAGGGUGCCCUUCCCCUGGCUCCAGGACUGUGUUUCCCUGCACCAGCUCCACACUGCUUCCCCACUCUCUCCCCUCCCCUCAGUGCCCUUGCCCCGUCCCCUCAUCUGUAAGAUCCUGGGAUUUGUAGGGACACUUAAUCCAUAUGGAGCUGAUUCAUUCCCAUCUAAAUCAUCUCCAUGAGCUUCCCUAAGAGCCCUCUGAUGUGCCAGCCACCAUUCCUCUCCCCUGGGCGAUGGCGGGCUGGGGGCUGCCAGUAAACAAACCUCAGCCGCCAUCCAUCCAUCUUGGCCUCGCCCAUCAGUCCAGCCAAGACCAUUCAUCUCUCCAGCACUGCUCCCUGCACUCCUCCAUCCCUCCAUCCAUCUGUCCCUCCUCCUCAUGCCGCUCUACUGGAAACUUUACCUCUCUGCCUUUUCCUGGGUAGCAUCUUGAGGGGUCAUCUCAACCAGCCCCCUGCCUUCAGACAGGAGCCUUACUUUACCCCUGGCCCAGCAAGGCAGGGGCUCUCCCAGUUCAUCACCUUCCAAGAAUGAGGCCUUCGAGUCUGAUGAUUUUACUCUACAGCACUGAUAACCUAGGGAAGUUCUUUCUUCUGUCUAGCUUGUGUGCUUGACAUUCACAUAUGACCAUAUGUCUGAAUGGGAGUGGGUAUAAGAUUAUAGGAUUAUAUUCAAGCG
rnacentral:lncRNA from 1 species